UACGUAGGGUGCGAGCGUUGUCCGGAAUUAUUGGGCGUAAAGAGCUCGUAGGCGGUCUGUCGCGUCGGUCGUGAAAACUUGGGGCUUAACCCUGAGCUUGCGGUCGAUACGGGCAUGACUGGAGUUCGGCAGGGGAGACUGAAUUCCUGGUGUAGCGGUGAAAUGCGCAGAUAUCAGGAGGAACACCGGUGGCGAAGGCGGCUCACUGGACCAUAACUGACGCUGAGGCACGAAAGCUAGGGGAGCAAACAGG
rnacentral:rRNA from 1 species